UGUAGCAAUUAUGGGUAGAUGUAAGAGAAUUAUAAUUAUAUUAUGGCUGAUUGCUUGGUUUCAUAUUCCAAAAAUUUUAUUUGUCGUGUAUUUUGGUAAUGCUAAAAUGGGAAUUAUUUCUUAUUAGCUUCUUUGUAGAUACAUACAGUAUUGUCAUUUUGGUGUGUUCUUAUGACUAAAAAAAGGUGAAUGAGAAUGAAACAUUGUAAGGGGCAAAUGUGGCAAAAUAUAUAAAUCUAAAAUCAUUGUCGUAAAUGUGUCUUUGUUAUCUAUCCGUCUUUACAUGGACAAGACUUUUCAUUUCUUUUGCAGGUGCACUUGAGGAAGCUCAAGGCAAAACAUAAUCACAUUCUUAUUUUACUUGCAUGUUUGUUUUUUAUUUUCUACUGUUAAAGUUUUAAAAUUUUAUUGCAAACAGAGGAACUAAUUUGGAAAAACAGUGAUAUUUUAUGAAUUUUGCUUUAUAGUUGAAGCAUUUGUUGGAAUAUUUGAUCUAGUGGACUCCCAUUGAAAAGAAUAUUUUUGCAUACAUUUUAGAUAAUAAAAUUGUAUUUGAAAAUCCCUGUACAAAUGACCUUAUUUUUCUGUUGAAGGAUGAACAGAUUUUUACUUUAAUGAGAUCUUAGAGGUGAAGUUUUUAUAUCUAUUUUUAUGGCAGUGAAAUUUAUAUUCUAACUAUGUAAAUGACUCAAGCCAGACCUGGAAGGUCUGAUAUAUGCAGUAACCUAUAGAAAUUAAAUAAUAGUAAAUGAUUCUGAUUGAAAGAAAUAAAAGUGGUUUCCCAAAAGGUUACUCUUUAUUAAGCUGUAAACAUUUGUCAAAAGUAGAAUUGGAAUUUAGUUCUGUAAAGAGUUCUGAACCUUUGAGAGAAAUAGAGUGGAGAAAUUAUUUUUUCAAGGUUACAUAACAUAGGCUGAUAAAUUAGAAGCAAUUUUCCCAAAGUCAGGAGAAAAAACAUAAAUGUAACAUGACAUGAAAAUCUCUCUGCCAGUUCAAAGUUUUCCAUUUCAAAUUUUUCUUUAUCUUUAAUUUAAAAAGAAGUUAAAGUUAGUUAACUCUGAAGUGAAACAAAAGAUGUAAACAGCAAGAGUAACAUUUAAAAUGUUACUUGAUAGAAAAUAAAGUAUUGCAAAAUUGGCAUAAAGUCAUGAUUAACUCAUAAAAUAUGUUACUUUGAAAUACUUUUGCUUAUUAUUACUAUCUAUUGCUUUAAAAAUGACUUCUAGGGGAAUUUUUCUAAUUUUUUUUUUAGCAUAGGCUGAGUGGGGCUUGUGGGUUAUAAAAUGAAUCGCCACCUCACCUUUCUGUUUGAUGUGAUUUCUAUUUUUCCUUUCCCCUUUCACAUUAUUAAUAGAUAAAAUAUUUAAAGGAAAUAUUGCCAAGUUGCUUAUUGAUGUUUAAAAUUUAAGCCUGAAAUACACUUUGGGAGAAGAAGUAGAUAUGAAGGCAUUUCAUUAUUAAAAUUUUUAAGUUUAAAAAUAUUGCAUAUUAGCUGAGAAUAUUGAACUUGAUCAACAUAUGUUACCAGCUAGCCUCUUCCCCACCCGUUCUUUUGUUAUCUUGUUAUUGUUACAAGGCUUAAUGACAGUUGUAGGCCAUAGUUCUGGAUGUGGGGGUUAUUCUACCCUGGGGAGAAGAGGAGGAAGCAGCAGUGUGGAUUAUGGAAAUAUGGACCGAUCUAAAAAGAGACCUCUUGUAAAAGAAUGGAGCUCAAAGAAAAGCUAGGAGAAACUGAUGAAAAGAUGGAAUAUGAUGUGAAAAUGAUCAUUUGAAAUCCUUCAUUCCCAGCUGCCCUGUUUUGGAGAAAAGGAAUGCAUUUGUAUGUUAAGAGAGAGCUAAAAGAGUCCAGAUGAAUAGUAUUACUUAUUAGAUAUGUUUUCAUUUUGAUUCAGAUAAAUUAUGUGCAUUUUAAUAGACCUUUGCAUAUUUAGACCUUUUAAAUCUUAAAGACGUAAUGUUAGGUAUGAUUAGAAAUAUUUUAAGUAGUAUACAAUAUUUGCUUAAUCUUUAUGUACAUUUAAAUGAACCUAAUUUCAAAAAUUAACUUCAUGAUUGUUGUAUUUACAUAUUUUAACUAAUUGUCAUGGUGAAUGUUUUAUUUAAAAUACGAAUUAUUUUGAUACCUUGUAUCAGUUAUUUAAACAGUCACGUGUUUACUUAUGUUUAUUUUUCUAGAUAAGUGACAGUAUUGCAGCUUAUCUUGGUGAAUUAGUACUAAGUGGUAACAUACAGCUAUGUCCUUAGCCUGUUUGACCAGACAAUAAUGCAAUCUAGUGGUCAUUUUUGUAAAAUGCAGACACAGAGUCCAUGUGGUUUUAACUAGUUAUUGAUGUAUUCAUAAAGGAAAGGUUGUUCCCUGAUUCUAAAGUUUGCAAAAAGUUAGGAAGAAGCAUGAAAAUGUAAAAAUAAGGCAUAUGGUAAGAGGAUCAUAUUUUGAAGGAAGAUGAUAUUUUUAACUUUGGAUGUGCCAGGUAUUCUAAUAGAAUAUCUUCUAAGUAGAAGGAAACCUCUGACUGGACUUCAGGAGAGGAUGAUGAUUUGGGUACCAGGCAAAGUUUAGCAAAAGAGAACAAUCUCCAAGAACAACUGCUUUUAUGGGCUCCAACCUAUGUCUUUAAAUCCAUACUGGAAAAUAUAAUUUGAUAAUCAUACCCUAUGACCCUUAUAAAUAUUUCAGUUUUUAAGAGGUAGACAAUAUCACUAACUUGCUCCUUUUGAUAUGACCAGCUGGGAUUGUUAAUUGUAAUAAUCUGAAAUUUUUAUAUGAUUGUCUGUGGAGUUAUUAUUUAUAGGAUAUGGGAUGUUAAGGAGGAAGAUUAAUAUCAGAUAACUUCAAGUUGAGCCGUAGGGAAUGGAAGAAGUAACAAAAUAUUAAAUUAAGCACAAUAACAUGUUCAAAUAAUUGCUAAUUUAAUGUGGCUAGAGUGUGGGAUAUAUGGAGCUUGAUAUUGAGUCUACAAAGGUAGUUGUGUCAGAUUAUAAAGAACUUUGUAUACUUUGCUAAUUUCUUUGGCAUUGACUCAUAGGGAAUAACCAUAGUGGUACAUAUUUCGGAGGUUUCCACAUCACAUCUAUAUUUUAAAGAGGUAACUUUAGAUUUAAGUGCUUUGAAUUGGUAAAAGGAGUCUGUUGGAGACAUGGAGACUAGUAGGAAGACUAUCGUAAUUGUUUAGUAGAACUGUUGAGAACCUGAACUAGGGAAAGGUCAAAGAGAAAGUGGGAAAGGGAAUGGAUUUGAGAUUUUUUUUCUUUCUUUUUUUUAUUGUGGAGACACAGAUACAUGACAUGUACUUUAUAAACAAUUGUUAAGUUUACAGUACAGUAUUUUAAACUAUAAGCACAGUGUUGUACAUGAGACCUCUGGAACUUACUCAUGUUAUGUAACUGAAUUUUGUACCUGUUGAAUGGCAACUUGCCAUAUCUCCCUACUCACAGACCCUGGUUAGCAACCACCAUCCAACUUUCUGUUUCUGUGAGUUUGACUAUUUUUGAUGUCUCAUUUAAGUGGAAUCAUGCAGUAUUUGUCUUUUUGAGACUGGCUUAUCUGGCUUAUUUCACUUAGCAUAAUGUUCUCCAGAUUCAUUCAUGUGGCAAAUGACAGGAUUUUUUUUUCUUUUUUCUAAGGCUGAGUAAUUUUCCAUUGUGUGUAUAUAACACAGUUUCACUCUCCAUUCAUCUAUUGGUAGACAUUUAGGGUAUUUCCACAUCUUCGCCAUUCUGAGCAAUGCUGCAGAGAACAUGGAAGAGCAAAUACCCCUUUAAGAUCUUGAUUUCAGUUAUUUUGGGUAAAUACCCAGAAGUGGGAUUGCUGGAUCAUGUGGUAGUUCUAUUUUUAAUUUUUUGGGAAACUGUUUUCCAUAGCUCCUAUACCAUUUGAUAUUCUUACCAACAGUAUACAAGGGUGCCAGUUUUUCUACAUCCUCUCCAAUGCUUAUCUUUGUUUAUUUGUUUGUUGAUAAUGGGCAUUCUCACAGGUGUGAAAUGAUAUCCCACUGUGAUUUGCAUUUCCUUCCUAAUUAGUAAUGUUGAGCCUAUUUUCAUAUAACUCUCGGCUAUUCAUUUGACUUCCUUGGAGAAAUGUCUGAGUCCUUCUAUCAAUUUUUAAUCAGGUUUUUUUUUUUUUUUUGCUGUUACGUUAAUUGGAGUUCCUUACAUAGCUUGGAUAGUAACCCCGUAUCAUAUGUAUGGUUUGCAAAUAUUUUCUUAGAUGUUAUAGGUUGCCUUUCACUCUUUAGGUUGUCUUCAGUACAGAAGAUUUUUAGUUUGAUGUAAUUCCACUUGUCUGUUUGUGCCUUAGUUGCUUGUGCAUGUGUUUAUAAACAUCCAUAUCAUAUAUCCAUAAUUGGUAUUGUAGCCAAGAAAUUAUUGCCAAGACCAAUGUCAUGAAAGUUUUUCCCUGGUCGUGAGUGAUUUUCCGUUUCCAUCUAAGAGUUUAACACUUUUCAUGUCUUAUGUUUAACUCUAUUUUUUUAAAGUUAAAAAGUAUUUUAAUGGGUUUCAAAAUUCUAUGACAGAUUUCUUUGCUCAAGUUAUUUUCAGUAAGAAGUAAUUAUUUUAAAAACUGACAACUUAAAGACUCCCACACAAAAAACCCAAAAAUGUUCCAUAAAAUGUUCUCCUUUCCUUCCAAAGCUUUUGUAAUGCAUUGCUAUCAUUAACCAGUCUUUUACUAUUAAACUUAAAUUGCCUUUUCAGACAAAUACUUCUGGGACUGUUUUUCAACUUGAAUAAAACUAGGGUGCAGGUAUUAGGGAUAAUAUUCAUUUAGCCUCCUAAACUUUCCGGGCGGACUUGCUGACCUUCCCAACUCUAGCAGCCCCCUUGUCCACUGCUUUGAAGACACCCACUGCAACUGUCUCAAAUUAUGAACAGUAAAAUGACUCAGAGGAGGAUGGUCAGAAGAGCUUUUAACACUCCAGGAACCAUGUAAUAAUGGCAGCAUCACUAGAUUUCAGGAGUUUAGAGCCAUCUCCCAGCUUCUUACCAGAGUGGCAAUCAAUCUUUUCCUUCAGCUCAGCAAACUUGCAAGCAAUAUAAGCUGUGUGAUAGUGUAGCACAGGAGGAUAUCCAGGACCAAUCCGGCCUGGAUGGUUCAAGAUUACCAUGUGAGCAGUGCUUCCUAGCUGCUUUCAUUGGUGAGUCAUUUUUACUGUCACCAGCAAUACUGUGAUGGCGAUUAUCUUUGACAGACACAUUCUUGACAUUGAAGCCCACAUUGUCUUUAGGAAGAGCUUCACUCAAAGCUUUUUGGUGCAUUUCAGCAGACUCUACUUCAAUUGUAAUGUUGACUGAUGCAAAAGUAGACCCCAUGCUGGGCUUCAGCAUACGAGUCUUCACUCGGCCCAAAGGGACAGCACCAAUAUCACCAAUUUGUAGACACUGGGCAGGGGCAAACACAAGAGCUUGUCAAUUGUAUCAGUUUGGUGGUAGGAUGCAAUCCAGAGCUUUAAGCAGCAUGUUUCCACUAGUAUUGUCAUCUUUCCACAGGUGACUUUUCAUCUCUUGAGCCAAGAUAUGUUAUCACUUGACUCCAACAUAUUGUCACCAUUCUAAUCGGAAAUUGGCACAAAUGCUACUGUGGCAGGUGUGUUGCCAAUUUUCUUAAUAUAGGUGCUGAUUUCCUUAAGGAUUUUCUCAUCUCUUCUGGCUAUUGGGUGAGUCAGUUGAAUCGAUUUUGUUAACAUAAACAGUUGGUUGUUUUACAAUCAGUGUGGAAGCCAGAAGGGAUAUGCUCAUGAGUCUGCCCAUUCUUGGAGAAACCAACUUCAGAUUCAUCAGCACCAGCAGCAACAGUAAGAAGAGCACAGUCAAUUUGAGAUGGGUAUGGUUUGUCUCUGUGUCCCCACCCAAAUUGCAUCUUGAAUUGUAGUCCCCAUAAUUCUCACAUGUUGUGGGAGGUUACUUGGUGGGAGAUAAUUAACUCGUGGAGCAGUCUCCCCCAUACUGUUCUUGUGGUAGUGAGAUUUGAUGGUUUUAUAACAGGUUCCCAUUUCACUUUAUUCUCUUUCUCUCCUUGCCUGCUGCCAUGUAAGAUGUGACUUCAAUCUUCCCUCACCUUCUAGCAUGAUUAUGAGGCCUCCCCAGCCAUGUGGGACUGUGAGUCCAUUAAACCUCCCUUUCUUCAUAAAUUACCCAGUCUUGGGUAUGUGUUUAUCAGCAGUGUGAAAAUGGACUGAUACAAUAAAUGUUCCUGUAAUAAACAUGAUUACAUGUUUCUGUAUCCUGGGGUAUCAAUGAUAGUCACAUAGGGGCUUCAAUGAUAGUCACAUAGUAGUAUUUGGUGGUCUCAAAUUUCCACUUGGAGAUACCAGUGGUGAAACCAUGCUCAGGCUCAGCUUUCAAUUUACCCAAGACCCAGGCAUGCUUGAAGGACCCCUUUCUCAUCUCACUAGUCUUGUCCUCACAUUUUUUUGUGGUUCUGUGGUCAGUCCCACCACAUUUAUAGAUUGGAUGGCCAGUAGUAAUGGACUUGAAUGAAUCUACAUGUCUAGUGAUGAUGAUGUUGAUAUGAGUCAUUUUCUUUCCCAUUUUGGCUUUCAUUUAGGAAUGGUUUUCAUAACACCCUUAUUCUGGUGGCAAACCCAUUGCCAAAAAGCUGCUUAGGCCUUUUGUCCAUUUUGAAUUGAUUUUUGUGUGUACUGUAAGAUAAGUAUCCAAUUUCAUUCUUUUACAUGUAGACAUCCAGUUUUCCCAACAACAUUUGUUGAAGAGACUAUUCUUGCUCAUUGUGCAUUCUUGGUACAUUUGUUGAAAAUUCGUUGACCAUAUUUGCAUGGGUUUAUUUCUGAGCUCUCUAUUCUAUUCCAUUGGUUAUAUGUCUUUCUGCCAGUACCAUAAUGUUUUAAUUACCAUAGUUUUGUAAUAUACUUUGAAAUGAGGAAAUAUGUUGCUUCUAGCUUUGUUAUUCUACCCCAAAUAGCCAAUUCAAGAUUGUUUUGGCUAUUUGGGGUCCUUCAUGGUUCCAUAUUAAUUUUAGGUUUUUGUUUUUUUUUCUGUAAAAAAUACCAUUGGGAAUUUGAUAGGGAUUGCAUUGAAUCUAUAGAUUACUUUAUGUAUUAUGGCUAUUGUAAUGAUGUUGAAGUUUUCCAGUUCAUGAAUAUGGGAUGUCUUUUUAUUUAUUUGUGUCUCUUAAAAUUUCUUUCAUCAGUAUUCUGUAGUUUUUCAUUUGCAAAUCUUUCAUUUCCUUGGUCAAUUUUAUUCCUAAAAAUUUUAUUCUUUUUGAUCUUAUUGUUAAUGGGAUUGUUUCCUUAAUUUGCUUGUCAGAUAGAUUGAUAUUAGUGUUACAAACACAACUGAUUUUGUAUGUUGAUUUAUAUAUUCUACAACAAACUUUUCUGAAUUUUUUUAGUUCUUCUAAUAGAUUUUUGAUGCACUCUUUAGGGUUUUCUACAUAUAAGAUUAUGUCAUCUGUGAACAGAAAUAAUUUUACUUCUUCUUUUUCAGUUUGGAUGCCCAUUAUUUCUUUUUGUUGCCUAAUUGCUCUGACUGUGACUUCCAGUACUGUAUUGAAUAGGAGUGAUAAGAAUAGGCAUUUUGGCUUUGUUUCUGAUCUUAAGAAAGACUUUCAGCUUUUCUCCCUUAAGUAUAAUGUUAACGGUGAGCUUUUCAUAUAUGGCCUUCUUUAUUUUGAGGUAGUCUCCCCCUGUUUGUAGUUUGUUGAGAUUUUUUAUUAUGAAAAAGUGUUGAAUUUUGCCCAAUGCCUUUUCUGAUUCUACUGAGAGAUCUUCAAGAAAGUGAAGAGUAAAAGUUACUGAAAUUUCUUACCUAGAAGAUUAGAUAAAUCACGGUGAUGCUGUUAGUUAAGGGAAAGGAAAAAUUUUGAAGAAGAUAAUUAGAUAAGUCUUAGACAUAAUGUGUUUUAUUUCUUCAAACAUUAUGGUUAAAAUAUCAAAGUAACCAUUGUUGCAUGAAAAAAUAUGCAGCUCUGAGGACACAUUGGGAACAUUGAUAAUACUUAGGAAAACCUUACUGAAUGCUGCUCCACGCACUUAACUCUUGUAAAUUUAUCAAAUUCUCACUGCAACACUGUGAAGUAGAUAUUAGUUAUUAUCCUGUUUUGUAGAUGAGAAGGCUGAGGCAGAGAAGCCAUGUCACUCACCCAAGGUUCCACAUCUCUUAAGUGCAGACAUUGAUUUGAGUCAAUGCAGUCUGGCCUCUGUGUUCACGUUCUCAACUAUUUAUACUAUUCUGCCUCAGUAAUAAAAGAUUCCCGUUUACUAAGCAUUUUUACAUGCUAGACAUUGUGUUGAACAUUAUUUGUAUUAUAGCAGUUAUCUUCAAUACAGCUCUUUUGUUUCACAGAAUAGGAAAUUGAAGCAAAGAGAGGAAAAGUUGCAUGAAUGAUUUUACAUAGCUGUUAGGUUGUUCAAAUGGAUUCUGAACCUAGCAUUCUGGCUAGAGAGCCCAAACUUUUAUCAGUUGUGUAUAGCAAUAAGAGUAGAUUCCUCAGGGAAAGGUAAGGGCUGAAUGCAGAGCCCAGAGGGAACACUAAUGAGACGGCUUAUGAAGAGGGAGUUGUAAAGCAGCCAGAAGAAAAAUGACAAAGACAGGAGGAGAGCUACAAAAAAAGAAAAAAAACAAACAAAAAACACACAACAU